AUGACGGGUAGCCGGCCUGAGAGGGCGAUCGGCCACACUGGAACUGAGAUACGGUCCAGACUCCUACGGGAGGCAGCAGUAGGGAAUAUUGGGCAAUGGGAGAAAUCCUGACCCAGCAACGCCGCGUGAAUGAAGAAGGCCCUUGGGUUGUAAAGUUCUUUUGUACGGGAAGAAAAAAAUGACGGUACCGUGCGAAUAAGCCCCGGCUAACUACGUGCCAGCAGCCGCGGUAAUACGUAGGGGGCGAGCGUUGUCCGGAAUUACUGGGCGUAAAGGGCACGCAGGCGGUGCUGUAAGUCGGCUGUGAAAGGAUGCGGCUUAACCGCGUUUCGGCAGUCGAAACUGCAGUGCUGGAGUACCGAAGAGGCAAGUGGAAUUCCCAGUGUAGCGGUGAAAUGCGUAGAUAUUGGGAAGAACACCGGUGGCGAAGGCGACUUGCUGGUCGGUAACUGACGCUCUUGUGCGAAAGCUAGGGGAGCAAACAGGAUUAGAUACCCUGGUAGUCCUAGCGGUAAACGAUGAAUGCUGGGUGUGGGGGUAGAGAUACCGGCGUGCCGUAGCUAACGCGAUAAGCAUUCCGCCUGGGGAGUACGGUCGCAAGAUUGAAACUCAAAGGAAUUGACGGGGGCCCGCACAAGCGGUGGAGCACGUGGUUUAAUUCGAUGCAACGCGAAGAACCUUACCUGGGUUUGACAUGUAUGUAAUAGAAGGCGGAAACGUCGACGACUCAGCUUUCGGGUUGAGAGCAUACACAGGUGCUGCAUGGCUGUCGUCAGCUCGUGCCGUGAGAUGUUGGGUUAAGUCCCGCAACGAGCGCAACCCCUGCAUUUAGUUGCCAUCAGGUGAAGCUGGGCACUCUAGAUGGACUGCCAUCGACAAGGUGGAGGAAGGUGGGGAUGACGUCAAGUCAUCAUGGCCCUUAUGUCCAGGGCGACACACGUGCUACAAUGGUCGGUACAGAGGGAAGCAA
rnacentral:rRNA from 1 species